rnacentral:rRNA from 1 species
ACAAGUAGUCAGAGCCCGUUAAUGGGUGAUGGCGUGCCUUUUGUAGAAUGAACCGGCGAGUUACGAUUUGAUGCAAGGUUAAGCAGUAAAUGUGGAGCCGUAGCGAAAGCGAGUCUGAAUAGGGCGUUUAGUAUUUGGUCGUAGACCCGAAACCAGGUGAUCUACCCUUGGUCAGGUUGAAGUUCAGGUAACACUGAAUGGAGGACCGAACCGACUUACGUUGAAAAGUGAGCGGAUGAACUGAGGGUAGCGGAGAAAUUCCAAUCGAACCUGGAGAUAGCUGGUUCUCUCCGAAAUAGCUUUAGGGCUAGCCUCAAGUGAUGAUUAUUGGAGGUAGAGCACUGUUUGGACGAGGGGCCCCUCUCGGGUUACCGAAUUCAGACAAACUCCGAAUGCCAAUUAAUUUAACUUGGGAGUCAGAACAUGGGUGAUAAGGUCCGUGUUCGAAAGGGAAACAGCCCAGACCACCAGCUAAGGUCCCAAAAUAUAUGUUAAGUGGAAAAGGAUGUGGCGUUGCCCAGACAACUAGGAUGUUGGCUUAGAAGCAGCCAUCAUUUAAAGAGUGCGUAAUAGCUCACUAGUCGAGUGACACUGCGCCGAAAAUGUACCGGGGCUAAACAUAUUACCGAAGCUGUGGAUUGUCCUUUGGACAAUGGUAGGAGAGCGUUCUAAGGGCGUUGAAGCAUGAUCGUAAGGACAUGUGGAGCGCUUAGAAGUGAGAAUGCCGGUGUGAGUAGCGAAAGACGGGUGAGAAUCCCGUCCACCGAUUGACUAAGGUUUCCAGAGGAAGGCUCGUCCGCUCUGGGUUAGUCGGGUCCUAAGCUGAGGCCGACAGGCGUAGGCGAUGGAUAACAGGUUGAUAUUCCUGUACCACCUAUAAUCGUUUUAAUCGA